UACGUAGGGACCAAGCGUUGUUCGGAUUUACUGGGCGUAAAGGGCGCGUAGGCGGCAAAUUAAGUCAUCUGUGAAAUCUCCGAGCUUAACUCGGAACGGUCAGGUGAUACUGAUCUGCUAGAGUGCGGAAGGGGCAAUCGGAAUUCUCGGUGUAGCGGUGAAAUGCGUAGAUAUCAAGAGGAACACCUGAGGUGAAGACGGGUUGCUGGGCCGACACUGACGCUGACAGCGCGAAAGCCAGGGGAGCAAACGGG
rnacentral:rRNA from 1 species